GACGAACGCUGGCGGCGUGCUUAACACAUGCAAGUCGAACGGAAAGGCCCUGCUUUUGUGGGGUGCUCGAGUGGCGAACGGGUGAGUAACUCGUGAGUAACCUGCCCUUGACUUUGGGAUAACUUCAGGAAACUGGGGCUAAUACCGGAUAGGAGCUCCUGCUGCAUGGUGGGGGUUGGAAAGUUUCGGCGGUUGGGGAUGGACUCGCGGCUUAUCAGCUUGUUGGUGGGGUAGUGGCUUACCAAGGCUUUGACGGGUAGCCGGCCUGAGAGGGUGACCGGCCACAUUGGGACUGAGGUACGGCCCAGACUCCUACGGGAGGCAGCAGUAGGGAAUAUUGCACAAUGGGCGGAAGCCUGAUGCAGCAACGCCGCGUGCGGGAUGACGGCCUUCGGGUUGUAAACCGCUUUCGCCUGUGACGAAGCGUGAGUGACGGUAAUGGGUAAAGAAGCACCGGCUAACUACGUG
rnacentral:rRNA from 1 species